ACCAUAGGCUGUAUAAAUAUAGGACGAAGCUUCCGGGUCUGAAAAGUUAAGCCAAUGCGGAAGUGCCGUAAACCUGCAUUCUGAACUGGGGGGCGC